rnacentral:lncRNA from 1 species
CUUCCUCUUGUCUGCAAAUCCCCUCUCUCAUGGGGUCAUACCCCAUUUCAAAGCCACCUUCUACCUCGCUUCCAUGGAGUCCAUGGGGUCGUUUGACCCCAUUGACCCCACUGUGGGUCCGUCUCUGGUUGUCUUACUUAAAAGUUGAUCGUCACAAGCUAAUUUUCUCUCUUAUCACGUGUUGGGAUGAAAACAUCCGAAUUUAUAGGAGAAAGGACCAAAAGAUAAAAAAAAAAAAAAAAAAGAGGGCAGCAAAGCAAGAAAAGGAAAGCAAAGUAAUUGAAGGCGUGACGCAAUUUAUGAGGCACUAGUUGAAACCCCAGGUGAAGAACGUGGAAUUCUAAAAUUGUGAGGGGUUAAUGCUACAAAGUUAUAGAUGCAUAUAUUUAGUUGGCACGUGAAUUUUUGUCUUUAUCAUAAAAGUGGGGGGAAAAAAACAAGGACAAGAGAGGAAAGAAAACCCUAUGGAAAACAGAUCCAUCUAUUUUGAGAAUCAAUUUUUUCUUAGUGUCUAUAGAACUACGGAAUGGUCACGUGGUACAUUUUGUAUAUGUGUUAUAAUAUAAGUGGAUAUUUAUUGAUACUAUUCUCUAAAAUGGGGGAAAAUAAACCUAUAGUCCACACAUGUUAUAAUGCAUGUAUAAGAUGUAUCACGUAGUAUUUUAUAAGUUCUCGGUCAUUUGAUCUUACAUCGUUUCUAUAUUAUACAAGUACUUAUAGUAUACUAAUUCUUUUUUCUCUCAUUUAAUUUACUUAAUUAGUUUUUGAGAAUGAGUACAGAUAACCCUAUUUAGUUCUGUCGUAGUCCAUAAAAUUGGUAAAGAGAAUAUAAUAAGCGUUUCCAGACUAAAAUAACACCAAAAACAGUUUUUAGGAACAAAGUCAAACCGGCCUUUGUAUGAUCUGUAUGAUCAUGAGUGCAAUAUAGUAUAUAAUAAAUUGGAAAAUUUGUUAGAGAAAAAUAAUAAGCAAAUAUUUCUAGACACGUUAUAUAAGAGGAGGCAAUAAAUCCAGAUCUACUUCCUUACGCGGGUACCUUAAUUACUACCACAAGAUCUAUAAGCUGGUGUCACGAGGUCGUGGCUCCCAGUAUGGCCAAUUGCAUGAGCAGCACGACAUCGUGUAUGUUAAGCCUUGCCAUAGAGAUUGAUGUCCAUUAAUUUUUUUUUUUUUUUUUAAUCACGAUUCUAAACUACUCUAAUGUAUGAAGAAAAAGAGAUCCAACUCGAUGUAAAAGGACGCGCGCACACUGCUUUGAUUAAUUGGCUUAACUCACGUCUGCAAGUCCAACGAUUGAAUCGAUCUUGAGUCCCUUUGGAUUAAUCUGUCUAUUGUAUCUGAAUCAACAGACUGACGCCGUUUAUAUGCACCAAUAUUGCAAGUUCUAAAUUGUGUAAUGAAUAUCGUAUCUUAGUGGCUUCCACGCCACACUAUAUAUAAAGUCUAGACAAGAGGUCAAGAAUGUGUAAAGCAACCAUCACAUUACCUUGCGGUAUGUUUCGAGAAAAUUUUGCAUCAAUGGAAAAGGUUUCAAAUUUUGCAAUAAUGCAUGUGACCACACUUUUUCUGAAGUGACGAUGAACAAACUACUUCUCCA